rnacentral:tRNA from 1 species
GGCUCCGUCGUCUAGUGGUCCAGGACGUCUGGUUCUCAUCCAGAAAAUCGCGGGUUCGACUCCCGCCGGAGUCACCA